rnacentral:tRNA from 1 species
GCGGAGGUAGCCCAGCUAGGUCAACGGCGGAGGACUUAAGAUCCUCUCCUGUAGAGGUUCGUGUGUUCAAAUCGCGCCCUCCGCACCA